GUCCCCAUCGUCUAGGGGUUAGGACACCACCCUUUCACGGUGGGAACAGGGGUUCGAAUCCCCUUGGGGAUGCCA
rnacentral:tRNA from 4 species